AGGAGUCUAUCUAGUAUGCGAGUAAAUGGGCACAAGAAAACCUAUUUGCGUAAAUAACUUGACUGUUAUGGGACUACGAGCUGCACCUUAACCGGUGCGUUCCUCCAUCCCGGGGUAUUUUCAUAACAUGUGGCUUGCUACAUAGAAAAUAUACCAUGAGCACACUGGAUAUGACCCGAAAGAUGGUGAACUAUGCCUGAUCAGGUUGAAGUCAGGGGAAACCCUGAUGGAGGACCGAAGCAAUUCUGACGUGCAAAUCGAUUGUCAGAAUUGGGCAUAGGGGCGAAAGACCAAUCGAACCAUCUAGUAGCUGGUUCCUUCCGAAGUUUCCCUCAGGAUAGCUGGAGCAUAAACGAGUCAUACACUAACUCAUACCUGGUAAAGCGAAUGAUUAGAGGCCUUAGGAUCGAAAUGAUUUUAACCUAUUCUCAAACUUUAAAUGGAUAUGUAAGUCAACAUACUUGAUUGAUGUUGACCGGUUUGCCCCGUUAAACGGGCACGUAAGAUUGUAUGCUCCCAGUGGGCCAAGUUUUGGUAAGCAGAACUGGUGCUGUGGGAUGAACCAAACGCAAUGUUAAGGCGCCUAAAUAAACGACGCAUCAUCGAUACCAUGAAAGGUGUUGAUUGCUGAAGACAGCAGGACGGUGGACAUGGAAGUUGUCAUCCGCUAG
rnacentral:rRNA from 1 species